rnacentral:tRNA from 1 species
GGGGAUGUAGCUCAAUUGGGAGAGUGCUUGCCUUGCAUGCACAAGGCCCUGGGUUCAAUCCCCAGCACCACUC